GUAGGGAAUAUUGGGCAAUGGAUGCAAGUCUGACCCAGCCAUCCCGCGUGCCCGAAGAAGGCCCUCAGGGUUGUAAACGGCUUUUGACGGUGAAGAAUCGACAGGAUGCGUCCUGUUUUGACGGUAGCCGUUGAAUAAGCACCGGCUAACUCCGUGCCAGCAGCCGCGGUAAUACGGAGGGUGCGAGCGUUGUCCGGAUUUAUUGGGUUUAAAGGGUGCGUAGGCUGGAAGGUCAGUCAGCGGUGAAAAGCUGUCGCUUAACGAUAGUCUUGCCGCAGAUACUUCCUUUCUUGGAUGAGGAGGAGGCCACUGGAACGGAUGGUGUAGCGGUGAAAUGCAUAGAUAUCAUCCAGAACACCGAUUGCGAAGGCAGGUGGCUGUACCUUAAUCGACGCUGAUGCACGAAAGCAUGGGGAGCAAACAGGAUUAGAUACCCCUGUAGUCC
rnacentral:rRNA from 1 species